UACGGGGGGGGCAAGCGUUGUUCGGAAUUACUGGGCGUAAAGGGCUCGUAGGUGGCCAACUAAGUCAGACGUGAAAUCCCUCAGCUUAACUGGGGAACUGCGUCUGAUACUGGAUGGCUUGAGAUUGGGAGAGGGAUGCGGAAUUCCAGGUGUAGCGGUGAAAUGCGUAGAUAUCCGGAGGAACACCGGUGGCGAAGGCGGCUUCCUGGACCGACACUGACGCUGAGGCGCGAAAGCUAGGGGAGCAAACGGG
rnacentral:rRNA from 1 species